GACGAACGCUGGCGGCGUGCUUAACACAUGCAAGUCGAACGGAAAGGCCUCUUUCGGGGGGUACUCGAGUGGCGAACGGGUGAGUAACACGUGAGUAACCUGCCCUUGACCUUGGGAUAACUUCAGGAAACUGGGGCUAAUACCGGAUAGGAGCUCCUGCUGCAUGGUGGGGGUUGGACAGUUUCGGCGGUUGGGGAUGGACUCGCGGCUUAUCAGCCUGUUGGUGGGGUAGUGGCUUACCAAGGCUUUGACGGGUAGCCGGCCUGAGAGGGUGACCGGCCACAUUGGGACUGGGAUACGGCCCGGACUCCUACGGGAGGCAGGAGUGGGGAAUAUUGCACGAUGGGGGGAAGCCUGAUGCAGCAACGCCGUGUGCGGGAUGACAGCCUUCGGGUUGUAGACCGCUUUCGCUCAUGACGGAGCCUUGUGUGACGGUAGUGAGUAAAGAAGCACCGGCUAACUACGU
rnacentral:rRNA from 1 species